rnacentral:tRNA from 1 species
GGGCCCGUAGCUCAGCCUGGCCAGAGCGCCCGGCUCUUAACCGGGAGGUCGUGGGUUCAAAUCCCACCGGGCCCG